AGAGUUUGAUCCUGGCUCAGGACGAACGCUGGCGGCGUGCUUAACACAUGCAAGUCGAGCGGGGUGAUCUCUUCGGAGAGAUCCUAGCGGCGGACGGGUGAGAGUAACACGUGAGUAACCUGCCCUAUGGAGGGGGAUAACACAAAGAAAUUUGUGCUAAUACCGCAUAAAACUGAUGCUUCGCAUGGAGUGUCAGUCAAAGAUUUAUCGCCAUAGGAUGGACUCGCGGCGCAUUAGCUAGUUGGUGAGGUAACGGCUCACCAAGGCGACGAUGCGUAGCCGACCUGAGAGGGUGAUCGGCCACAUUGGAACUGAGACACGGUCCAGACUCCUACGGGAGGCAGCAGUGGGGAAUAUUGCACAAUGGGCGAAAGCCUGAUGCAGCAACGCCGCGUGAGCGAUGAAGGCCUUCGGGUUGUAAAGCUCUGUCUUUGGGGACGAUAAUGACGGUACCCAAGGAGGAAGCCACGGCUAACUACGUGCCAGCAGCCGCGGUAAUACGUAGGUGGCAAGCGUUGUCCGGAUUUACUGGGCGUAAAGAGAGCGUAGGCGGACUUUUAAGUGGGAUGUGAAAUACUCGGGCUCAACCCGAGUGCUGCAUUCCAAACUGGAAGUCUAGAGUGCAGAAGGGGCAACUGGAAUUCCUAGUGUAGCGGUGAAAUGCGUAGAUAUUAGGAGGAACACCAGUGGCGAAGGCGACUUACUGGACUGUAACUGACACUGAGGCUCGAAAGCGUGGGGAUCAAACAGGAUUAGAUACCCUGGUAGUCCACGCCGUAAACGAUGAGUGCUAAGUGUUAGGGGGUUUCCGCCCCUUAGUGCUGCAGCUAACGCAUUAAGCACUCCGCCUGGGGAGUACGACCGCAAGGUUGAAACUCAAAGGAAUUGACGGGGACCCGCACAAGCGGUGGAGCAUGUGGUUUAAUUCGAAGCAACGCGAAGAACCUUACCAAAUCUUGACAUCCUCUGACCCCUCUAGAGAUAGAGUUUUCCCCUUCGGGGGACAGAGUGACAGGUGGUGCAUGGUUGUCGUCAGCUCGUGUCGUGAGAUGUUGGGUUAAGUCCCGCAACGAGCGCAACCCUUAAGCUUAGUUGCCAUCAUUAAGUUGGGCACUCUAAGUUGACUGCCGGUGACAAACCGGAGGAAGGUGGGGAUGACGUCAAAUCAUCAUGCCCCUUAUGAUUUGGGCUACACACGUGCUACAAUGGACAAUACAAAGGGUAGCGAAACCGCGAGGUCAAGCAAAUCCCAUAAAGUUGUUCUCAGUUCGGAUUGUAGUCUGCAACUCGACUAUAUGAAGCUGGAAUCGCUAGUAAUCGUAGAUCAGCAUGCUACGGUGAAUACGUUCCCGGGUCUUGUACACACCGCCCGUCACACCACGAGAGUUUGUAACACCCGAAGCCGGUGGAGUAACCAUUUGGAGCUAGCCGUCGAAGGUGGGACAAAUGAUUGGGGUGAAGUCGUAACAAGGUAACCU
rnacentral:rRNA from 1 species